CUGCCCAUUCUGCAUCCUUGUGGGGUCUUUAAGGAGGUUUGAAAUUUCUAUUUGGCAGGCAACAAAAUAGCAGUGCCCAAGGUGUUUUUCAUUAAAUACAUCCAGGCUGAAGCCAGGGCUGCCGCCAGAUUCCUGGGCUAGUAUGUUCUAUUUGACAAAGCAAGGGAAGACAAAGGAAUUGAUACAACCGCAACCGCACUGACAGGCAGAUCCAGAGAGCUCACAGCUCCCUGCUGAGGAUGAAGAGCCCUCCUCUGAGUUCAACUUGCCUCCCAGUUGCCAUGGUUACCUUUCUGGUUUCCAGACAGAAACUUUCUGAAGUUCACAAUGUAUCCAGACUUCUCUUCCCAGCAGCAACAAAGGGACUGCAGAUGUAUACUACCAUGCCUGGCUUUGACAUGAGUCCCGGGGAUCCGAACUUGAGUCUUCAGCUUGUACAAUAAGCAUUUUAUCAGCGGAUCUAUCUCCUAAGCCCAGAGAUAAAACUGCUUGAAGACAUAUUUGGGAAAGGACUAUCACCAGUCCAAUCAAAACACCGGCACAUGCAGCUUUAUCAAUGACUAUAUUGAUAGCAGUAUUAGGAUUGCUGACAAGGUCUUUUUAAAAAUAGAAACCAGUUCCAUGUUUUGGUUCACAAAUGCAUGAGACAGUCUCAUCCGAGGAGAGGCAAAAGUGCACCUCUAAACUCCGGCACCCUUAUUGCGAUUACGUGACAGCUGACAGCGCUGCUACAUCCCUGCCACCUCCUCGUCCCCCCAAACCCCGCUCCCCCAGCAUCCUUCACCAGAAGCCAAUUGAUGCCAUCAAACUCAGCUGGGCGUGGCAAGGGCUCCGUGCACCAAAUUACAAAGUCUUAAAAACAAAAAGUUACCACGCACCCACCCCAACCCCCACCGGAAGUAGUCAGUACUGGGCAAUACUGGGGAAAUCCCACAGAAGUUGCAAGAAGAUACAGACAGAUCGCAGAUGCUGUGACUGUAGAGGGGGGCUUAGCCUCUCUGUCACCUCUCUCCACCGCAGACAGGCUCCUCACUGUGACCUUUAGAACACAGAUGCCACCUGGUUGGAAAGGGUGACUGGAUGCCCUCACUGCCACCGCCCACACGCCCAGCCAGGCUGGCUUGUGAUCUCACUUUGCUCCUAGGAGAGACAGUCCCACAGCAUAGUCACCUCAUAGCAGCGUCUUAUCCGCUAGCCAGAGACCCCUCUCUGUUCAAAGUAUAGGAAGUAAGAAAUCUCCUCUGUGGGCUAUUGACUCUCCUACCCCAGCUUCUCCCGAUGCGGGCGGCCUGCGCUACUAAAGGACGGCUCACCUGAAGUCCCGCUGCCAUGCUUCUCUGUAGAACUUGACAGCGAGGGAGAAGAAAAGUAGACAAAACUUAAGAAGUCUUAUUUCAAGGGCCAGCAAUGGCUCUGGGGUUAAAGGGACUUGUCACUCAAGCCUGACAGCCUGAGUUGAAACCCAGUGUGGAAGGACAGAACUGACUCGAAGAAACUGUUGCGUGACUCCCGCACACACGCCAAAAGCACUGCUCACACUCACAAACACAUCCUGAGCACACACAAUAAAGCUGAUAAAUGAAUUUUUUGUAAAAAGAAGUCUCCUUUCUAAUGGGAAUUCUAGGGGGUAGGAUAAGAAAAAAAAAAGAGUAGCAGACAUUAUCAAAGAGAUAAAGCAGAAAAUAUCAUUCUGAAGUGUAAAUAAAUCACCAUGCAAGGCCUAUCAGAUGCACAUACUGAAUGGAGAAAUCCAACCUCAUUGCACAUAUAGAGUCCUGGGAUACAAAGGGGAUCCUGAAGGUUUAGAAGCGUGUAGAAACGUGGAGGUCGGGGACACAGACCCCAGAGAAGGCUGGGAGUCAGUGUGGCAUCAAGAAUUAUACUGAAAGCAGAUGACAAGGUAGAGUAACAUUCCAAACUCCCAGUGAGGAUUAUAAACCAACCACGGCAAGAGUAAGCAGAGAAUGAAGAGGUUUCUGCUUGGCUGGCUGGCUGGCUGGCUGGUUGGUUGGCUGGUUGGUUGGCUGGCUGGUUGAUUGGUGGGGGUGGGGAUGUUUGUUUUUAUUGUUGUUUCUGAUUAUCAGAAGAGUUUUCAGAAGCUGAGGAUGUCGCUCCACUGAGAGUGUUGUGUCAUGCAUGAAGUCCUGGGUUAGAUCACCAACCCCGUAUGAACCUGGCAUAAGGAGGCUCACCCCUCUCAGCACUGGAGAGGUGGAGACAGAAGGAUCAUCCUUGGUCACUCAGUGAGCUGGAACUCAGCCCUGAAGCACAUAAGAAAGAUUCUGUUUCAAAAAAAAAAAAUCUCAGAAGCGAUUAUCUCUCAGGCAUCCCUUCUCAGAAACUACACUGGAAAUAUGCUCUGUUGAAAUACGGCAACAGAGAGACAGAGUCAGAGAUGGGAAAGAUAAGAAUUCGCAGGAACUCAGCAAAGGAAAGAGCAAGAGACUAGGCAGCUGACCAGGAGACCGGCCAACUCUGAGUAUGGGGUCAGAGGACCCAAGAGGAUGUCUGAUUGGGAAAGUACACGCCCGAUGAGUUGGUAGCUAUCAGUGGGGCAAAAGCUCUGAGCAGUGUUUCAGACCUCUGGAGACAUGGGAGAGAGUUUGGCUAUUACUAGACAAACAAAAACCCCCAAAAAGAGGCAAUCAUUAGCUCCAGGAAAGACAAGAAAAAUUCUAUUAAGUGUAAGAAUUAAUGUGUAAUUAGAGAGUACUACUCUGCUUAGCAGUAAACAGUAUUUAUGCAACUGUUGCUUCAGAAAACCAUAGUGCAAGAAAACAAGCUGCCAAAGGCAGAGAGACAUCAGGAAACCAGACAAAGGCAGGCACGUUCAGGACUGUGUUGUGUCAAAUGCAAUUCAUUAGUGAGGACCGAAGUGUGUUUUGAGUAGCAACAAAAUAUGAUCUCCACAGUUUAAGGCAAGAGGAGGAGGACUCUCCAGUGAGCAAGACAGAGUAGUCUAGAACCAACUGAAAUAUACUCGGCCUUCUUGUCAGGCAUCAGCUGAGAAAUCACUGGUGUAAUCAAACAUGGUGGUUCAUGCCUGUGGUCCCAGGUCUUGAGAGGCCAAGGCAGAAAAUUAUGAGUUUUAAGUCAGCCAGCGACUCAGGGAGAAGGAGGGAGGCCAAGAUGGAAGCGGACGAACAGGAAGAAGAACCUAAACCAGCAUGGCUUUAAUUAGCCACAGGUAGUUAUGACACGAAAGAUAGAAAUAUCAUUGGGAUAUUUGUCUAAUCUAGAUGGACAGCUUUUAUCAUUAUCAAUUGGUUCUGAAAUUAUUGUAUUGGCAUCUUGUGAAUCGAGAAUUUAUUGCUAUAUAAAAAUGUUUGGUUAAUUAU
ensembl:lincRNA C230024C17Rik RIKEN cDNA C230024C17 gene